GACGAACGCUGGCGGCGUGCCUAAUACAUGCAAGUCGAGCGAACGGACGCGAACGUUUCUCUUCUGAUGUUAGCGGCGGACGUGUGAGUAAUACGUGGAUCACCUACCUAUAAGACUGGGAUAACUUCGUUAAACCGGUGCUAAUAACGGAUAAAAUUUUGCACCGCAUUGUUCUUAAGUGAAAGACGGUCUUGCUGUCACUUAUAGAUGGUUCCGGGCUGCAUUAGGUAGCUGGUAAGGUAACGGCUUACCAAGGCAAGGAUGCAUAGCCGACCGGAGAGGGGGAUGAGGCACCCUAGAACGGAGACACGGUCCAGACUACUACGGGAGGCAGCAGUAGGGAAUCUUCCGCAAUGGGCGAAAGCCUGGAGGAGCAACGCCGCGUGGGGUAUGAAAGUCUUCGGAUAGUAAAACUCUGUUAUUAGGGAAGAACAUAUGUGUAAGUAACUGUGAGCAUCUUGACGGUACCUAAUGAGAAAGCAACGGCUAACUACGUG
rnacentral:rRNA from 1 species